CAGCUGUUAAGCAAGUGUAGAGAGCAUCGAGGCUAAAACUGGGACAGGGAGGCACAGGGCUCUGGGGAGAGAGGCUGAAAAAAAGGAGAUGACUCAGCACCAAUGCCAGAAGCCAUGUUGGAGAAAUACAGGUCAUUUGAUAAUCCAGAAGUUCAAGUCUUUUUCAGCAUGUUAUGGUUAUUUACAGUGUGUGCCAUGAAUUACACAGGAUGAACUGGGGAGCUGCUAGGGGAGAAUUUUGUGCAGUGGCGAAGUGGCGAUACAGAGAGAAAGGAAGCACUGGCCUGCAGCAGCAGUUUCACCUCGCAGCCCUGGGAUACUUAUCUCUGUGCAAACACCAGCAACCAAAAGUAACUUUUGAAGUUG